AUGUGAAAAGCCAAAAUAGCGGCAUAUGAUUUCGACUCAUAUAACUGAUUUUUUAUUUCUUUACAUG
rnacentral:tRNA from 1 species